UAUGGGGGCCUUCACGUGUCCCAAACCACAUGCAAAAUGGUUUGUUACAUUCAUCGACGAUCAUACUCGAAUUUGUUGGGUAUAUUUAUUAAAAGAAAAAUCCGAUGUUCGGUCCGUGUUCAUAAACUUCCACUCUAUGAUUCAAACACAAUUUCAAACACAAAUUCAAAUUUUACACAGCGACAAUGGCACGGAAUAUUUCAAUAACAUCAUGGGAAAUUUCUUGCAUGCUCAUGGCAUAAUUCAUCAAAGCACUUGCGUCAACACUCCCCAACAAAAUGGGAUUGCCGAACAAAAAAAUAGACAUCUUCUAGAAGUUGCUCGUGCCCUAAUGUUUACUACGAACAUGCCAAAAAUAUUCUGGGGGGAUGCGGUCCUUACAUCCACCUAUCUAAUCAACCGAAUGCCUAGUCGUGUCCUAAACUUUGCAACACCUCUCCAAAAAUUUCAAAAAUAUUUCCCAAAUUCUCGCCUCCACUCUAAUCUUCCCCUAAGAGUGUUUGGGUGCACCGCAUUCGUACAUGUUCACCCCAAUCACAGAAGUAAACUUGAUCCACGUGCAAUUAAAUGUGUCCUGAUCGGAUAUUCUCCUACUCAAAAGGCUACAAAUGUUAUGAUCCUUCCACUAAACGGACCUUUGUAAGCCUUGAUGUAACUUUCUUCCAGAAUGCCCCAUAUUUUACAACCACCGAUCUUCAGGGGGAUAUCUCACAUGAAGAUCGGUUCCUCGACCUCAGCCUCUCAACUCCUGAACAUACGUCACAUAUCCCAUCAAUUAAUACGCCACCAACUAAAAUACCGCUACCAGAAAGAAACUUGAAUCUAGGGGGAGAGGUAGAAAAAUAAAACGAUAAGGAAAUACUAGUUUACUCCAGAAAGCAAAAAUCAAAGUACUCAGAGAAUCUCACAUCUGAAGCACCAAAAGAGUCAGAACCGAUGGUAGCUCCAGAACCCCAAAAAGCAUCAGAAAUUUCUGAUGCUGAUUUACCCAUUGCUCUCAGAAAACAAAAACGGUUAUGUACACUUCAUCCUAUUUCAAAAUACAUGUCCUAUAAUGCCCUAUCUGCAGGAUUUCGUGCUUUUACAUCUCAUCUUGACAGGACAGUGAUUCCGAAAAAUAUUCAUGAAGCCUUAGAACUUCCUAAAUGGAGAGAAGCAGUGUUGGAAGAAAUGCAAGCAUUAGAAAAAAAUGAAACUUGGGAAGUGAUGAACUUACCACAGGGAAAG
rnacentral:lncRNA from 1 species